rnacentral:rRNA from 2 species
GCUGGUGCUUAAGGCGCGAUGGCACCACUCCGACCCAUCUCGAACUCGGUUGUGAAACGUUGCUGCGGCGAAGAUACUUUGGGGGUUGCCCCACGGGACAAUAGCUCAGUGCCAGCA